AUGCCCACGCUCCAGCCUCGGCGUCGCCGUUCUGCACGCCGGAGGCUCAGCUGUUUUCUCCGCCCGCUUCCCCUUCCCGAAGGAAGCGGCACACACGCCGCCAUAAACUGGACAUUGCUGACCAACCUAUGGUGGGCAGCUCGGGCCCAGCGUACCCCUGCACCCGUACCAGUUCCUCGUGUGAGGGAGGUUGGGGCCCAGUUGGUCCCCGCUUUGAUUUCCAGGCCGGCUGAGGCCCUGUCAGUUUCUGCACCCGUACCAGCUCCUCGGGUGAGAACGGCAGCUGCCGUGCCGGUGACGGUCCCGGCUUCUAUGGUGAGGGGGGCUGUGAACCAGUCCACCCCUGCACCCAUGCCGGUCCCCAGGGUGAGGUCAGCCAGGAUACAGCCCGUCUCCGCACCCGUACCUACUCCUCGGGUGGGAGCGGCAGUGUCCGGCAGGCCUGCACCUGUUCCUGUUUCUGCUGAAGGCUCAGGCGAGCCCACCCAGCAGUCCUCCCUGUGUUCCAGAGGGUCAGGAGACUUAAGGCCACAACCAUCAUCACCACCAUCACUACUGUAUGCAUUUCAGUCUAUAGCACAGUCAUUAGCUCUGUUAGCAGCUCAGUCCAUAGUUCAAUUUCCUGUGUUACCGUUAGCUCAGCCCUUCACCCACUGUGCAGCUCACCCUUCUAUUCAACCAGAAGGGGACCGCAUCUCUCUAAUAAAUCCCGGACAGACUGUUUGCACUGCACAGCCCCAGCCGUUGCAUCCUGAGCCGCCUGUGUGCCCUGUGCAGCUUCAGUUAGCGUCCCUUCAGCCAGAGGUCUCCGUACCUGCUGGCUCUGUCUGUUUAUUCAGCUGGGGGUUCAGGAGAACCGCACCAGCCUCGUGCCUCGUCAGCUGGAGGGUGGCAAAUGUCACACAGUUUGAUCUAUAUUAUUGUGCUAAACUUCAUGUGUUACAGCGACAACAUGCAAACCUUCGUUAUUAACUGCAGCUUCAACACUGAGCUGCAAACAUGCUUUUCCCGCAGUAACAUGACGAUAAGAACACAUGUUCGUUGAUUACAGCACAGUGUGAAAGUGACAGAGAGCACACAGUGUGUUAGGACGAUUUGGAAAUCCAACAUUUUUGUCGUUUGGACAUUUUAACUUAAAUAUAGAAAACAAAAACGUAAGCGCGUAUGUGUCCUUACAGCAUGGAUAAAAAGGCCGUUUGCGAGCUGUCCUUUCGCUUACGGCCAUACCACCCUGAACACGCCCGAUCUCGUCUGAUCUCGGACGCUAAGCAGGGUCGGGCCUGGUCAGUACUUGGAUGGGAGACCGCCUGGGAAUACCAGGUGCUGUAAGCUUUUGCACUUCGACACACAAACUGCAGAGGGCGCUGCUCUUUAGGAAAAAACUUCAUGACCUCUCUCCUAAUUUUUUGCAUGUGUACAGUUAAAAAAUUAAAACAACAAUCAUCUCUGCAGCUUAUUGGAGACACUCUCGUGAUUCUGUUGUAGAGCAGAGCUUCAGCUCAGUGUGACUUCAUGAGUCUGAAAGCUCCAGGAUGACAAAAAUACACCAACAUCAUUCCUCACUUUACUUUCUGGACAAAGAUGAGGUUACACAAGAAAAGCUGCCGAUAUGUGAAGAUUUAUACUCAAAUUAUAUUCUUGUAUUUGUAUCUUGCUGAUAAUAAAUAAUAAUAAAAGCUGUUGCACACGUUCUUCUCUCUGCCAAAGCAACACUGUCCUGUUAAUAGGAUUUGUUUUAUUCAUAUAUAACUUUGUAAAAAGCAUUUUAAUGCUGUGAGUAAUGACUUUACUGUUGGGCGACGUGUCUGUUACGCCGCUCAGCUCUGUCGGACCAGGAUGGCCGAGUGGUGAAGGCGUUGGACUUUUGUCCACGUGGGUUCAAACCCCACUCCUGGUAGAGAAAUUAACCUGUAGCCAGCGUACAAAUGAUCCAUAGGGAGUGGACCAGAGAGAAGACAGUGUUCGAUUCCUCAGAAGUGACAAAGCUGGACGGGCUUUUGGAUGUGCUGAAAGUUCAUGUGAAUGUGUCCUGUUGAAUACAAAAAUGGCAGUGGUGUGGAAGAUGAUCCAAUCCAGCAUUAUCUAUAAAGCACUUUAAAGUACCCAGCGCAGGACCAAAGUGCUGUACAGUAAAUAAGUUAAAAAAGAAAACAGUAGAAUAAAACAAAACACAUAAUACGUAAAGAUUAAAACAGCCGUAUAUUAAAAAAACGAGACAGAACAGCAUAUAAUCAACUAAAACAACUAACAUGAAAAUAAACUAAAACUAACAUCUUACAAGGUGUCAAAGGUGAGGUGUUACCACUUUGCCAAGGACUGGAAGAAGACCCAAAGAGUUCCCCUUAGAUCAGAGGGAAUUUGUUAUUACUGUGAACUGAGAGGAUCCCAACCACAAAAAAGCCAUUUGCUUCUGGAAAGACAGCUUUAUGGGCAGACUAGACUAUGACUGAGCUAUAUAAUGACAACAGUAUGUUUGGUGCAUCAAAGGUGAUCCUUUGAAAUCUGAGAACCGUGUACCAGAUGUUAAGCCUGGUGGUGGUAGGAUCAUGCUCCGGGGCUGAUUUGGUGCCAGUGGUACUGAUCAACUGCACAAAAUGGAUGGAAUAAUGGAGGAGGAGGACUACUAAAGUGAGUUUACAAUCCAACAUAGAAACCGAUCUUCACAGAUGGAAAACUUCUAUAUUCAAUGUUAUGCCAAAUCCUCAACUUAUUAGUAAAAGAAAACAAUUUUCAUUAUAAAAUAUGUUCUGAUGACAUUCACAUGGAUUUGAUUUACACAUCAGAGGCUUGGUCAAGUAAAUGAACAUGAAAUAAAGAGCAGAAAACACUGCAUGAGAAGUAAUUCAAAAC
ensembl:lncRNA